rnacentral:tRNA from 1 species
GGAGGGUUCGCAUAGCGGUCUAGUGCGCACGCCUGGAAAGCGUGUAUAUCGAAAGGUAUCAGGAGUUCGAAUCUCCUACCCUCCG